rnacentral:rRNA from 1 species
AGGCUGCAACUCGCCUGCAUGAAGUCGGAAUUGCUAGUAAUCGCGGAUCAGCAUGCCGCGGUGAAUACGUUCCCGGGCCUUGUACACACCGCCCGUCACACCAUGGGAGUCGGUAACACCCGAAGCCGAUAGUCUAACGAAAGAGGACGUCGUCGAAGGUGGGAUUGAUGACUGGGGUGAAGUCGUAACAAGGUAAC